GUGUCUGUCUGCCUCUCUCUCUCUCUCUCUCUCUCUCUGUGUGUGUGUGUGUGUGUGAGAGAGAGAGAGAGAGAGAGAGAGAGAGAGAGAGAGAGAGAGAGAAGGAACAG